GACGAACGCUGGCGGCGUGCUUAACACAUGCAAGUCGAACGGAAAGGCCCUGCUUUUGUGGGGUGCUCGAGUGGCGAACGGGUGAGUAACACGUGAGUAACCUGCCCUUGACUUUGGGAUAACUUCAGGAAACUGGGGCUAAUACCGGAUAGGAGCUCCUGCUGCAUGGUGUGGGUUGGAAAGUUUCGGCGGUUGGGGAUGGACUCGCGGCUUAUCAGCUUGUUGGUGGGGUAGUGGCUUACCAAGGCUUUGACGGGUAGCCGGCCUGAGAGGGUGACCGGCAACAUGGGGACUGAGAGACGGCCCAGACUCCUACGGGAGGCAGCAGGGGGGAAUAUUGCAGAAUGGGCGGAAGCCUGAUGCAGCAACGCCGCGUGCGGGAUGACGGCCUUCGGGUUGUAAACCGCUUUCGCAGGUGACGAAGCGUGAGUGACGGUAAUGGGUAAAGAAGCAACGGCUAACUACGUG
rnacentral:rRNA from 1 species